ACAACACACGUGACACACGUGACUAAACCUGAUUGGUUGUUGUCAUAGUAACACGUCACGGUGCUAUUUGAAACUUGUUCAGUUUAGUUCAGUUGUUCACGGUGCAUGCGGUUGCUUGCAUUAAACGUAUAAACUGUUAAAUUAGAUGGCGACUCUGCAUUAAACGUAUUUAUUUAAUUAAUCGGCGAUCGUAUUUCACCAGAGGACUAAGAUAAAACAACUCGAUUUAAAAUAUGAGCAGUUUUAGUGGAUCUGACGUUGAGGGAAAAAGUAUUUCGCUUUUUGUUUGGAGAUGAACGAGACAACACGAGGCACAGCGACAUAAAUAUGACCAACCAGAUCCCAAGUAGACAGGAACAAAUGAAGAUAUAGCGCAUAGAAAGACUUAUUCUUGGUGAUCAACUGCUAUUGACAUUUUUGAAUCGGGGCAAAUGUGGAGUGAAGAAAAACGUUUGCAACACAUCCAUUCCAGAGUGCUCUGACAGAUAAAACUGACACGCUUGAUGAGGACACAGUCAAGCUUUAAAAGCCCGUGUGAUAAAGCAGUCUUCAAUUACUACGGUGUCUGAAUUGCAAGAAGAAGUCACCCUCCACUUAAACAUGUGACAUCUAAACUGUUUUGUGUUUUAGUUCAGCUUUUUAUAGGUUUAUCUUAAGUUGGUU